rnacentral:tRNA from 1 species
UGGCUAAGCGGUAAAGCCCUUGGCUUCUGAACCAGGGGUCCCAGGUUCGAAUCCUGG